GAGACUUUUCAAAGACACCGUAAUAGAGGCCCAACUUGAACCAGAGAAUCAUAGGGCUAGAAGAGACCUCAGGAGGUCAUUGAGACCUACCUCAAAUUAAAAAAAACACAGUAAGAGAACUAUAAAAGUGCCACCACGGCUUAAAGUAGGAAUAAGAGAUCCUCCGGAUUAGGGCUUUAUUCCGGAGGAUCGGGCCAGUCUAGACGCUUUUUUCCGGCUUUUCCCCAAGCCGGAAAAAAAGCGGCAGACAUCUUUAUUUAAAUCCCGCGGGGGAUAUUUAAAUCCCCCACGGAUUUCCCUAUUCUGAAGUUGAAAAUUAGCAUGCCCCUUCCGAAAAAGGGGCCAGUGUAGAAGUAGCCUUGGAGUCCAGGAAUAAUAAUCGAAAUCAUGGUUCGCUAAGAGUGCAGAACAGUUUGCAAUUCUAAGCUGCAGUGUGGCAGAGGAGUAUACUUUCCUACCAAACAUUAACUUUUUUGUGCUUUCUAUAGGUGUGGAUCUGAAUUGUGGAAGUUUGGAGAGGUUAUUGAUGGCUUGCAUUACCAGUGAGUUGGGCUGCGGAUGAAAGAAGAGGAAAUUAAGAUCCUUAGGAGGAACUAAGUACUUCCUAAUGGCUCUUUUACAGGGAAUGGAGAAACAGGAUGGAGGAGGGAGGUAACAAAUUCUAGGAGGUUUGCCUCAGGCAAGUGCUGCUGCUGUCCUACAACCCUCUCAAACAAAGAAGCUUCCUUUUUCUUUUCUUGGUAACCAGAACAAGGGGUAUAACUAAUGAAGAAUAACUACAAUACAAACUAGGAAAAUUCUAAGUAAAUACACGGAGGAGAGAGUGGAGCUCUGUCUGUGACCGAGGAUGGUAAGCGAGGAACUCGGGGGAGGGGAAGGGGUGUCAGGCUACAUGUGCACAAGGAGUGAACAGCGCCAGGCACCUAUCCUGCAUGUGCAGCCCAACUGACAACUGCUGUAAAAAAAGCUCACAUCUGCAGCUCCAGGGUAACCCAUCAUCAAGAGUGGAACACCACGGGGAAAUUACUUGUAAAAGAACGUUUCACUGCCCCACUGUUUUAGCAUCUAGUGAAUUCUGGCUCAUUAGGCAGGAUAUGGACAAAUAAUAAAUGCUUUUCAGCACA